GUGACGUAUAAUCUAGUGGACGGGACGCUUCCUCAACAACAGCAGCUAGUCAGCAUCUUCGGUAGCUUGCUAGCCAACAUAGCCGAAACAUUCAAGCUCUGUAAUCGCUUUCGAUGUAAAAUAGCCACUUUGUUGUAAUUACACCUUUGUCGUAUAGGUAGUUACCCACUUUACUUUCAUAUUUACGUUGCUAGUAACUAUCUGAAUAGCUAAAAUAGCAUUAGCCUAGUGCUAGGCUAACUAGCUAGCUAACAUCCGCAACCAUGAGCUCACUAAGCUACUUCCCCCCUGGUAAAGAAGAGACUGUUAAAAGAGAAGUAGAGGAAGAUGUUACUGUGAAAGAAGAGGAAGAUGUUACUGUGAAAGAAGAGGAAGAUGUUACUGUGAAAGAAGAGGAAGAAGUUACUGUAAAAGAAACGGAAGAUGUUACUGUGAAAGAAGAGGAAGAUGCUACUGUGAAUGAAGAGGCUGAUAUUACUGUGAAAGAAGAGGAUGAUAUUACUGUGAAAGAAGAGGAUGCAAUUGAAAGAGUGAAAGAGGAGGAGGAGGAGAUGACUGUCACGGUGAAAGAAGAGGAAGAAGUGUUUGGAGUAAAGGAGGAAGAAGAGGAGAAGGAGGGGGAGAUGACUGUCACAUUGGAGGAAGGAGAGGAGGAGGGGGAGAUGACUGUCACAUUGGAGGAAGGAGAGGAGGAGGGGGAGACGACUGUCACAUUGGAGGAAGGAGAGGAGGAGGGGGAGAUGACUGUCACAUUGGAGGAAGGAGUGGAGGAGGAGCCAGGAGAUCUGAUUAACACCAUGAACCAUACAAACGCUUCACACCGCGUGGCCGCGGCCACCCUAACCUGGUUGUCCCAGCCCGCACGACCCACGUGGAGUUCCAGGUCUCCGGCAGCCUCUGGAACUGCCGAUCUGCGGCCAACAAGGCAGAGUUCAUCUCAGCCUAUGCUUCCCUCCAGUCCCUCGACUUCAUGGCACUGACGGAAACAUGGAUCACCACAGAUAACACUGCUACUCCUACUGCUCUCUCCUCGUCUGCCCACGUGUUCUCGCACACCCCGAGAGCUUCUGGUCAGCAGGGUGGUGGCACCGGGAUCCUCAUCUCUCCCAAGUGGUCAUUCUCUCUUUCUCCCCUUACCCAUCUGUCUAUCGCCUCCUUUGAAUUCCAUGCUGUCACAGUUACCAGCCCUUUCAAGCUUAACAUCCUUAUCAUUUAUCGCCCUCCAGGUUCCCUCGGAGAGUUCAUCAAUGAGCUUGAUGCCUUGAUAAGCUCCUUUCCUGAGGACGGCUCACCUCUCACAGUUCUGGGUGACUUUAACCUCCCCACGUCUACCUUUGACUCAUUCCUCUCUGCCUCCUUCUUUCCACUCCUCUCCUCUUUUGACCUCACCCUCUCACCUUCCCCCCCUACUCACAAGGCAGGCAAUACGCUUGACCUUAUCUUUACUAGAUGCUGUUCUUCCACUAAUCUCAUUGCAACUCCCCUCCAAGUCUGCGACCACUACCUUGUAUCAUUUUCCCUCUCGCUCUCAUCCAACACUUCCCACACUGCCCCUACUCGGAUGGUAUCGCGCCGUCCCAACCUUCGCUCUCUCUCCCCCGCUACUCUCUCCUCUUCCAUCUUAUCAUCUCUUCCCUCUGCUCAAACCUUCUCCAACCUAUCUCCUGAUUCUGCCUCCUCAACCCUCCUCUCCUCCCUUUCUGCAUCCUUUGACUCUCUAUGUCCCCUAUCCUCCAGGCCGGUUCGGUCCUCCCCUCCCGCUCCGUGGCUGGACGACUCAUUGCGAGCUCACAGAACAGGGCUCCGGGCAGCCGAGCGGAAAUGGAGGAAAACUCGCCUCCCUGCGGACCUGGCAUCCUUUCACUCCCUCCUCUCUACAUUUUCCUCUUCUGUCUCUGCUGCUAAAGCCACUUUCUACCACUCUAAAUUCCAAGCAUCUGCCUCUAACCCUAGGAAGCUCUUUGCCACCUUCUCCUCCCUCCUGAAUCCUCCUCCCCCCCCUCCUCCCUCUCUGCAGACGACUUCGUCAACCAUUUUGAAAAGAAGGUCGACGACAUCCGAUCCUCGUUUGCUAAGUCAAACGACAUCGCUGGUUCUGCUCACACUGCCCUACCCUGUGCUAUGACCUCUUUCUCCCCUCUCUCUCCAGAUGAAAUCUCGCGUCUUGUGACGGCCGGCCGCCCAACAACCUGCCCGCUUGACCCUAUCCCCUCCUCUCUUCUCCAGACCAUUUCCGGAGACCUUCUCCCUCACUUCGCUCAUCAACUCAUCCUUGACCACUGGCUACGUCCCUUCCGUCUUCAAGAGAGCGAGAGUUGCACCCAUUCUGAAAAAACCUACACUCGAUCCCUCCGAUGUCAACAACUACAGACCAGUAUCCCUUCUUUCUUUUCUCUCCAAAACUCUUGAACGUGCCGUCCUUGGCCAGCUCUCCUGCUAUCUCUCUCAGAAUGACCUUCUUGAUCCAAAUCAGUCAGGUUUCAAGACUAGUCAUUCAACUGAGACUGCUCUUCUCUGUAUCACGGAGGCGCUCCGCACUGCUAAAGCUAACUCUCUCUCCUCUGCUCUCAUCCUUCUAGACCUAUCGGCUGCCUUCGAUACUGUGAACCAUCAGAUCCUCCUCGCCACCCUCUCCGAGUUGGGCAUCUCCGGCGCGGCCCACGCUUGGAUUGCGUCCUACCUGACAGGUCGCUCCUACCAGGUGGCGUGGCGAGAAUCUGUCUCCUCACCACGUCCUCUCACCACUGGUGUCCCCCAGGGCUCUGUUCUAGGCCCUCUCCUAUUCUCGCUAUACACCAAGUCACUUGGCUCUGUCAUAACCUCACAUGGUCUCUCCUAUCAUUGCUAUGCAGACGACACACAAUUAAUCUUCUCCUUUCCCCCUUCUGAUGACCAGGUGGCGAAUCGCAUCUCUGCAUGUCUGGCAGACAUAUCAGUGUGGUUGACGGAUCACCACCUCAAGCUGAACCUCGGCAAGACGGAGCUGCUCUUCCUCCCGGGGAAGGACUGCCCGUUCCAUGAUCUCGCCAUCACGGUUGACAACUCCAUUGUGUCCUCCUCCCAGAGCGCUAAGAACCUUGGCGUGAUCCUGGACAACACCCUGUUGUUCUCAACUAACAUCAAGGCGGUGGCCCGUUCCUGUAGGUUCAUGCUCUACAACAUCCGCAGAGUACGACCCUGCCUCACACAGGAAGCGGCGCAGGUCCUAAUCCAGGCACUUGUCAUCUCCCGUCUGGAUUACUGCAACUCGCUGUUGGCUGGGCUCCCUGCCUGUGCCAUUAAACCCCUACAACUCAUCCAGAACGCCGCAGCCCGUCUGGUGUUCAACCUUCCCAAGUUCUCUCACGUCACCCCGCUCCUCCGCUCUCUCCACUGGCUUCCAGUUGAAGCUCGCAUCCGCUACAAGACCAUGGUGCUUGCCUACGGAGCUGUGAGGGGAACGGCACCUCAGUACCUUCAGGCUCUGAUCAGGCCCUACACCCAAACAAGGGCACUGCGUUCAUCCACCUCUGGCCUGCUCGCCUCCCUACCACUGAGGAAGUACAGUUCUCGCUCAGCCCAGUCAAAACUGUUCGCUGCUCUGGCACCCCAAUGGUGGAACAAACUCCCUCACGACGCCAGGACAGCAGAGUCAAUCACCACCUUCCGGAGACACCUGAAACCCCACCUCUUUAAGGAAUACCUAGGAUAGGAUAAAGCAAUCCUUAUGAACCCCCCCUUAAAAGAUUUAGAUGCACUAUUGUAAAGUGGCUGUUCCACUGGAUGUCAUAAGGACCAGACUCAGAGGAACCAGAGCCAGAGACGUCCAAUCCAGCAAGACGACACCACUGCUCUCAGUGUGGAAAGAGUUUUAGAUGGCU